GGAUGAAGGUGAGUUGUAAAGCUUGCUGGACAUAUCACAAGUGCGAAUGCUGACAUGAGUAACGAUAAUGGGAGUGAAAAACUCCCACGCCGGAAGACCAAGGUUUCCUGUCCCAUGCUAAUCAGGGCAGGGUAAGUCGGCCCCUAAGGCGAGGCAGAAAUGCGUAGUCGAUGGGAAACGGGUUAAUAUUCCCGUACUUAUAUAAUCAGUGAUGGAGGGACGGAGAAGGCUAGGCAAGCUUGGCGUUGUUUGUCCAAGUGA
rnacentral:rRNA from 1 species